GCGAACGCUGGCGGCAGGCUUAACACAUGCAAGUCGAGCGGGCAUCUUCGGAUGUCAGCGGCAGACGGGUGAGUAACACGUGUGAACGUACCCUUCGGUUCGGAACAACUCUGGGAAACUGGAGCUAAUACCGGAUACGCCCUUAUGGGGAAAGGUUUACUGCCGAAGGAUCGGCCCGCGUCUGAUUAGCUAGUUGGUGGGGUAACGGCCUACCAAGGCGACGAUCAGUAGCUGGUCUGAGAGGAUGAUCAGCCACACUGGGACUGAGACACGGCCCAGACUCCUACGGGAGGCAGCAGUGGGGAAUAUUGGACAAUGGGCGCAAGCCUGAUCCAGCCAUGCCGCGUGAGUGAUGAAGGCCUUAGGGUUGUAAAGCUCUUUUGUCCGGGACGAUAAUGACGGUACCGGAAGAAUAAGCCCCGGCUAACUUCGUG
rnacentral:rRNA from 1 species